GACGAACGCUGGCGGCGUGCCUAAUACAUGCAAGUAGAACGCUGAAGGAGGAGCUUGCUUCUCCGGAUGAGUUGCGAACGGGUGAGUAACGCGUAGGUAACCUGCCUGGUAGCGGGGGAUAACUAUUGGAAACGAUAGCUAAUACCGCAUAAGAGUAGAUGUCGCAUGACAUUUGCUUAAAAGGUGCAGCUGCACCACUACCAGAUGGACCUGCGUUGUAUUAGCUAGUUGGUGAGGUAACGGCUCACCAAGGCAACGAUACAUAGCCGACCUGAGAGGGUGAUCGGCCACACUGGGACUGAGACACGGCCCAGACUCCUACGGGAGGCAGCAGUAGGGAAUCUUCGGCAAUGGACGGAAGUCUGACCGAGCAACGCCGCGUGAGUGAAGAAGGUUUUCGGAUCGUAAAGCUCUGUUGUAAGAGAAGAACGAGUGUGAGAGUGGAAAGUUCACACUGUGACGGUAUCUUACCAGAAAGGGACGGCUAACUACGUG
rnacentral:rRNA from 1 species